CCUACGGGUGGCAGCAGUGAGGAAUAUUGGUCAAUGGGCGCAGGCCUGAACCAGCCAAGUAGCGUGAGGGAAGACUGCCCUAUGGGUUGUAAACCUCUUUUAUACGGGGAGAAUGAUGACUACGUGUAGUUAUUUGCAGGUACCGCAUGAAUAAGCAUCGGCUAAUUCCGUGCCAGCAGCCGCGGUAAUACGGAGGAUCCGAGCGUUAUCCGGAUUUAUUGGGUUUAAAGGGUGCGUAGGGGGUAUUUUAAGUUAGUGGUAAAACGUCGGGGCUUCACCUUGAAUGGCCAUUGAAACUGGAAGACGAGAGUACAGUCGAGGUAGGCGGAAUAAGUGGUGUAGCGGUGAAAUGCUUAGAUAUAACGUAGAACCCCGAUAGCGAAGGCAGCUUACCAGACUGUUACUGACGCUGAUGCACGAGAGCGUGGGUAUCGAACAGGAUUAGAUACCCGGGUAGUC
rnacentral:rRNA from 1 species